AACGCGAAGAACCUUACCUGGGCUCGAACGGCUUCGGACAAACUGUGGAAACACGGUCUUCCCGCAAGGGACUGGAGUCGAGGUGCUGCAUGGCUGUCGUCAGCUCGUGUCGUGAGAUGUUGGGUUAAGUCCCGCAACGAGCGCAACCCUCGUCCUGUGUUGGCAUGCCGCAAGGCGCAACUCUCAGGAGACCGCCAGCGAUAAGCUGGAGGAAGGUGGGGAUGACGUCAAGUCAUCAUGGCCUUUAUGUCCAGGGCCACACACGUGCUACAAUGGGCGGUACAAAGCGCUGCCAACCCGCGAGGGGGAGCUAAUCGCCAAAAACCGUCCUCAGUUCGGAUUGCAGGCUGCAACUCGCCUGCAUGAAGUCGGAAUCGCUAGUAAUCGCAGAUCAGCAUGUUGCGGUGAAUACGUUCCCGGGCCUUGUACACACCGACUGUAC
rnacentral:rRNA from 1 species